UAGGGAAUCUUCGGCAAUGGACGGAAGUCUGACCGAGCAACGCCGCGUGAGUGAAGAAGGUUUUCGGAUCGUAAAGCUCUGUUGUUAGAGAAGAACGUUGGUAGGAGUGGAAAAUCUACCAAGUGACGGUAACUAACCAGAAAGGGACGGCUAACUACGUGCCAGCAGCCGCGGUAAUACGUAGGUCCCGAGCGUUGUCCGGAUUUAUUGGGCGUAAAGCGAGCGCAGGCGGUUCUUUAAGUCUGAAGUUAAAGGCAGUGGCUUAACCAUUGUACGGUUUGGAAACUGGAGGACUUGCGUGCAGAAGGGGAGAGUGGAAUUCCAUGUGUAACGGUGAAAUGCGUAGAUAUAUGGAGGAACACCGGUGGCGAAAGCGGCUCUCUGGUCUGUAACUGACGCUGAGGCUCGAAAGCGUGGGGAGCAAACAGG
rnacentral:rRNA from 1 species